rnacentral:rRNA from 1 species
CCUACGGGAGGAUGCAGUCGAGAAUCAUUCACAAUGGGGGAAACCCUGAUGGUGCGACGCCGCGUGGGGGAAUGAAGGUCUUCGGAUUGUAAACCCCUGUCAUGUGGGAGCAAAUUAAAAAGAUAGUACCACAAGAGGAAGAGACGGCUAACUCUGUGCAAGCAGCCGCGGUAAUACAGAGGUCUCACGCGUUGUUCGGAAUCACUGGGCGUAAAGCGUGAGUAGGCUGUUUCGUAAGUCGUGUGUGAAAGGCGAGGGCUCAACCCGCGGACGGCACAUGAUACUGCGAGACUAGAGUAAUGGAGGGGGAACCGGAAUUCUCGGUGUAGCAGGGAAAUGCGUAGAUAUCGAGAGGAACACUCGUGGCGAAGGCGGGUGCCUGGACAUUAACUGACGCUGAGGCACGAAGGCCAGGGGAGCGAAAGGGAUUAGAUACCCCUGUAGUC